rnacentral:rRNA from 1 species
GUCGAGCGAGAACCAGGGCUUCGGCCCUGGGGACAGCGGCGAACGGGUGAGUAACACGUGGAUAACCUGCCCUCGGCACCGGGAUAGCCCGGGGAAACCCGGAUUAAUACCGGAUGGCCCCUCCGGCUUUCGAGCCGGUCGGAAAAGGUAGCUUCGGCCUCCGGCCGAGGAUGGGUCCGCGGCGGAUUAGCUUGUUGGCGGGGUAACGGCCCACCAAGGCGACGAUCCGUAGCUGGUCUGAGAGGACGAUCAGCCACACUGGGACUGAGACACGGCCCAGACUCCUACGGGAGGCAGCAGUGGGGAAUCUUGCGCAAUGGGCGAAAGCCUGACGCAGCGACGCCGCGUGAGGGAGGAAGGCCUUCGGGUUGUAACCUCUUUCAGGAGGGACGAAGCUACUCGGGUGAAUGCCCAGAGGGUGACGGUACCUCCAGAAGAAGCCCCGGCUAACUACGUGCCAGCAGCCGCGGUAAUACGUACGGGGCAAGCGUUGUCCGGAUUUACUGGGCGUAAAGCGCGUGUAGGCGGCCGCGCAGGUCCGUUGUGAAAACUGGAGGCUUAACCUUCAGACGUCGACUGAAACCGUGUGGCUAGAGUCCGGAAGAUGAGAGUGGAAUUCCUGGUGUACGGUGAAUGCGCAGAUAUCAAGAAGAACACAAUGGCGACGCGCUCUCUGGGACGGUCUGACUCUUAACGCGAAGCCUGGGGAGCGAACAGGAUUGAUACUUGGUAGCCACCCGUAAAGAUGGGGCUAGGUGUGGGAGUGUCCACUCCUUCGUGCGCUUCUAAGCAUUAGCACCCGCCUGGGAGUACGGCGUAAGCUAAACUCAAAGAUUGCGGGG